rnacentral:other from 1 species
CUCUCCCUGGGCUGCUCGCUAGUCGAUAUGUCCUCGACCCUUUAUGCGAUACCUAGGAGGUCUUUUUAUAUGCGCUAUGUGCAAGUCCGCAAGUCGGAACGCCUUUGUUCAUUUGGAGACCACCGCCUUGAACCGCCGGGUUCAAGGGCCUAUCCGCACAGCGGCAGUUUGGGGGACUU